AGACAGAAAUGAAGGGAGUCGAAGAAGACAACGACGAAGACACGUUCGUUUUGAAGGACUAUACUGCUCCUACUGCUUUUUCUUCUUCUUCUUUUUCUUCUUCUUCUUAUUGGUGGUAGUUA
rnacentral:ribozyme from 1 species